CACGAGGCUUCCCAUAGAGGUAUUUGGGAGAAUCAUAAACAAAUUUCACGCAAAUACUUCUUCCCAAAAAUGAAAAUCAAAAUUAGGCAGUUUAUCAAGUUAUGCGAAACAUGUAGUAAAAACAAAUACGAGAGGAAACCUUAUCAAAUCAAACUAGGAGAAACUCCAAUUCCAAAACGGCCCUUAGAGAUAAUCCAUGUAGAUAUCUUUAUUGCACAACCAGACCUUUUCCUGACAAUCGUAGACAAAUUAUCAAGAUUUGGAGUAAUCAUCCCGAUUAAAUCAAGAACAAUCCAAGACGUUCGAAAGGCGUUAUUGAAGUUUAUCAGUUUGCACGGAAAACCACAACUGAUCGUCUGUGAUAACGAACCCGCGUUAAAGUCUAUAGAGGUAAGAGGACUUAUGGAUGAUCUAGAAAUUCAAAUGUAUUUUACCCCUUCCAACCACAGCGAAACGAACGGAAUAGUCGAAAGAUUUAAUUCGACACUAGCUGAAAUAUUCAAAUGUAUUAAAGGUCGACACGAAGACCUCUCACAAAAAGAAAAAAUCAUGAUAGCUUGUACUCAAUACAAUGAAACCAUCCACUCGGCAACAAAACUCAAACCUAGAGAAAUUUUCUUCGGCGUUAAAGAUCAAGACGUUAGACCUCUUAACAUUGAAGAAAUGAUCGUAAAAAGGAAUAAACUAUAUGAUGACGUAACGUUAGAGCUUACGAAAACUCAGAAAGCCAAUUUAGACCAAAGAAACAAACACCGCGAAAACGAACCUAAACUAGACGAAAAUGAUAGAGUUUUUCAUAGAGUACAAGGUAUCAAGGAUAAGACAAAUGUGAGAUACUCUCCAGUACAUGUCGCAAAUGAUAAUAACAAAACAUUUAACGACGACAUGAACCGCAAGUUACAUACAACCAACAUAAGAAGAAUUUUGAACUAACAUUUCUUUAUAUUUUAGGCGAACAUGGAAUCUACCUUGCUUGUGAUGAUUGGCCUUGUCCUUACUGCUAAUUCCCAGCAGCAUACGCUUCACAUACAGGACUUAUCGACAAACCCAGGACUGCUGACAAUAACAACAGGACAUUGUUUCAUAACCAAAGGACAAGACAGACUAUAUCAUGAAAUAGAUCUCGACCAAUACCAAAAGUUGUUGGAUAACAUCGACAAGAUUAUACGAGGACUCACGCAUUUCGACACCUUCAAAGAUUUGACUAUUUUGCUAUCCAACAAAUUUGAUGACAUUUUGAGGCUCUAUGAAAACUUACUGCCCCAUAGGAGAUUAAAAAGAGGAGCAUUUAUCUUGUUAGGGUCAAGUAUUAAAUUGUUAACAGGUAACCUUGAUGAUAAUGACCUUGUAAAAAUAGACCAAGAAAUCCAGAAUCUGAAAGUUAGUGGAAAUAGUUUAAAACAAUCUUCAGAUUAGGUUAAACAGGAAAUUCGAGAAUCAGAUAAAUAAAAUGAUAAAAACAUUUAAUGACCAACAAACUAUUAUAACCAGAGAACUUAUAAAUAUUAAACGGGGCAUCAAUAAUAACACAGGAAUUAAUCACGUAUCUUUUCUCAUCCAAACAUUCAAAACAACUUACCAAUUAGAGCAAAUAGAAAAAGAGCUAGUCUAUUUUUGAAACUUCUCAAUUAGCAAACCUUAACGUAAUUUCUAAAAACAUUUUAGGAAAAUCAGAACUCAGCCUUAUUAGAGAAAAACUUGAGAGUCAUAACAUUACCUUUCAAAGCACUGAUCAAAUUUAUGAAAUGUUAGGGAUUAGCUCAGUAUUUAGGAACCAAAAGUUAUACUUCAUAAUCUUUAUUCCACAGUUAGAAUCUACUAUUUUCAAUCGAAUCCUUAUGGAGCCUAUACCAAUCGACGGAAGAAUCAUCGAAUUGCCCUCAUCAUCUGCACUCAUCGGACUCAACAAGACUUUUCUACUCAAAUCGGAAUGCCGUACUGUAGGACAAAACGCUUUAUGCGAUAAGGAUAACUUAGCGGAUGUAUCUCAAGAUGAUUGCGUUUCCAAGAUACUCAGAGGAAUCCCAGAAUGUGGACACCAUAACCAAAUCGGGACGAAUCGGUCUUGAAGGGGGAGUAGUUACAACGGACACCAACGUCAAGAAUUACGCCACCAUCAUCAAGUUUCCUCGCAGCCUAAGUCUCCACCAGAACGCAUAGCAUGAGUCCAAAGUACGAUAACCCGAAUGAUGAGACCAGCAAAUAGAGGACGUUAGCAACAACCUACCAAUCGGACGACGGAAGUGCGGACAUAAACAAAACUUACUUUUAGCUAGGUCAGGCAAUCAGUGCAACUCAUUAAGGUUUGAUGUAAGCUUAAUUAAUAAAUAAAAUUCAUUCUGUGUUCAAUCGUGUUA